rnacentral:rRNA from 1 species
UACAGAGGGUGCAAGCGUUAAUCGGAAUUACUGGGCGUAAAGGGCGCGUAGGUGGAUAAUUAAGUUGGAUGUGAAAUCCCUGGGCUUAACCUGGGAAUGGCAUACGAUACUGGUUGUCUAGAGUCAGGUAGAGGGAAGUGGAAUUUCCGGUGUAGCGGUGAAAUGCGUAGAUAUCGGAAGGAACACCAGUGGCGAAGGCGGCUUCCUGGACCAUGACUGACGCUGAGGCGCGAAAGCGUGGGGAGCAAACAGG